GGUGAGGUGGCAGAGCCCGGUUGAAUGCGCCAGCCUUGAGAGCUGGUAGGUCGCAAGGCCUCACGAGUUCAAAUCUCGUCCUCACCG
rnacentral:tRNA from 1 species